ensembl:snRNA U2 U2 spliceosomal RNA
AUUGCUUCUUGGCCUUUUGGCUAAGAUCAAGUGUAAAAAACAAAAACAAAAAAAUUUUUUUAAAAAAAACAAAUGAGUCUUUAAACACUCAUUGAUUUCAAAUGACUCAUUGAUUUC